UACGUAGGGUGCGAGCGUUAAUCGGAAUUACUGGGCGUAAAGCGUGCGCAGGCGGUUUUGCAAGCCGGAUGUGAAAUCCCCGGGCUUAACCUGGGAAUGGCAUUUGGGACUGCAAGGCUGGAGUGCGGCAGAGGAGACUGGAAUUCCUGGUGUAGCAGUGAAAUGCGUAGAUAUCAGGAGGAACACCGAUGGCGAAGGCGGGUCUCUGGGCAGUAACUGACGCUGAGGAGCGAAAGCGUGGGGAGCGAACAGG
rnacentral:rRNA from 1 species